ensembl:lncRNA
GAAACAGAAGGCAUUGGACUUGUUACACAAUGAUACAGAAACCACAGUGGAUAUCUAAAACAGCCCCUUAGAUACACCAAAGAUUUUGUGUCUGUAUCAUACUUUGAGAUCAGCAGAAGCAAGUUGGAUGUAUUUGCAAAGCUCCUGUUGCAGUUCUCCUGAAAGUACAUACAGCUUCUCUGUGGUGUUGUUGGUUUGGUUUGAUUUCCCCACCCCACAAAAGAAGAUUUGAGCUGAAAGCCUCGAACACCCAGUGCUGUAACCUGUGGAACAGCUGGAUGGAGCAAGGAGCAGAGAGGAGUGACUGCAGUCACAGGAGGAGCCAGUGGCAGCCUCAGGGGAAAGCAAAUCUGGCUCCUGCCAAUGUGCCAGAGGAAGAAGCAUGUUCAGGUGGAGAGAAUACCAUUGAUAGUUCCAAAAGUCAGAGUGCUGCAUGGGUAAAUGCAAAGAAUGCACAUUCCUUAUUCCACUCCCAAAAAACCCCUAGGGGAGAUCCUUUAACUUCUCUCCAGCCAAGACCCCAGCUGGGUUUCCUCCUUACCUUCUCCCCACAUUCACACAUCCCCAUGACUGGAACUGAGUGCAGGUAUGGACAGUGGAUAUAACAGCCCUGCACAUUUCCUUUGGGCUCUCAGCUGUGUUUUCCAACAUUGUUGCAUUUUGUGUUUAUAGCACAGCAAAGAUUUUCUUGCUCAUUUAAUUUUCUCUUCCCAUGCUGCAAGGCUUAGUUCAUUAGCUUAAAAGACUGUCACGCUUCUGGAGAACAGAAUAUAUUUGGCAGGAGUGGAUAGUAAUUAUCUAAAAAUUCAAUCAAGCCAUUUUUUGAUUGAUUUUUGGGAUGAAAUAUAUGGGCUUCAGUGGAAUUAAUUGCAUCCUAGUAUUUUUUAAAUUUAUGUUUUAAGCAUCAGAUUGCCCCAGCACUCCCACUUUCUUUGGUACUUUUAUUUUUUCCUCUUACCAACUAUAUACAAAGUCUCUUGUAGGUAAAUGCUCUGACUGUAUUGAUUUUUUAAAAAUUACAUAUGUCUUCCACUUCCAGUGAUAUUAGUAUUGUAACACUCAUGUAGCUGAAAAGAAUUUUUACAGAAGGAUAAUUUUCAGUCUUAAAAAUGCCACUGGCCAAGCAAGCAGACUUUCUUGAGACCUACAGAAGGUGCAUGAACAUAACACUGAUUCUGACUGAUGACCAUUUCUUCAGGAAUUUGUUUUCAUGACAUGAACUUAAUGUAUAAGGCUUAAGGAAGUAUUUUAAAUAGCAGUGAAAACAAAAAAUAUGAGACCUAAAUUACAAAAGCAGAAUGGUUUUAUGACAGUAAUGCUAAAGCUGCUGUUAUCAGACACUGCUUGCUGAUGGACCUUGAUGAGAAAACAUUGCUCAGAAAAAUGUCCCAUCAGUGUUGUGAUACCAUCACAUCCCCUGCUCCAGGGCUGAGCCAAAAAAAGCCUGCUCAGAUCUGCAUCUCUUGCUACAUUCUCAGCUGUGAUGGAUUAGGAAGUAAUGAAGAAGAUUUCUCAGAGACUGAUUUAUUAUUAACCUGAUUGUGCAUUUUUUCUGGAACUGUUCUGUAUCAGUUGUGCACACUGAUUUGUAAGAGAAUAAGACUG